rnacentral:rRNA from 1 species
GACGAACGCUGGCGGGAUGCCUUACACAUGCAAGUCGAACGGAGUGGCGAACGGGUGAGUAAUGUAUCGGAACGUGCCCAGUAGCGGGGGAUAACUACGCGAAAGCGUAGCUAAUACCGCAUACUAUUGGAGCGGCCGAUAUCGGAUUAGCUAGUUGGUGGGGUAACGGCGCACAAAGGCGACGAUCCGUAGCUGGUUUGAGGGGCAGACCAGCCACACUGGGACUGAGACACGGCCCAGACUCCUACGGGAGGCAGCAGUGGUGAAUUUUGGCAAAGGGGGGAAACCCUGAUCCAACCCUCCCGCGUGUGCGAUGAAGGCCUUCGGGUUGUAAAGCACUUUUGGCAGGAAAGCGGUACCUGCAAAAUAAGCACCGGCUAACUACGUGCCAGCCGCCGCGGUAAUAC